GAUGAAGAACGCAGCGAAAUGCGAUAAGUAAUGCGAAUUGCAGAAUUUCCGUGAGUCAUCGAAUCUUUGAACGCACCUUGCGCCCUUUGGUAUUCCGAAGGGCACGCCCGUUUGAGUGUCAUUGUAAUCUCACUACAUCGACUUUUUGCCGUUGUAUGUGGACUUGGAUGUUGCUGUGUUGCAACGGCUCGUCUGAAAUGCCUGAGUGUACCCUGUUUUGCAGCGUAUUCGGUGUAAUAAAUCUUCACCGGAGUUGACUCUCGAGUCACGUUGGCUCUACAUGGCUCUAUGCUUCCAACCGUCGUGUCCGACAAUCUUUGACAAUUUGACCUCAAAUCGGGCGGGACUACCCGCUGAACUUAAGCAUAUCAAUAAGCGGAGGA
rnacentral:misc_RNA from 1 species